rnacentral:lncRNA from 1 species
CAGUGGCUUCCCUUGCUGUGGAGCGCAGGCUCAGGCGCAGGCUUCAGCAGCGGCAACACCUGGGCUCAGCAGUUGUGGCCCAUGGGCUUAGUUGCCCUGAGGCAUGAGGGAUCUUCCGGGACCAGGGAUCAACCUAGUGUCUGCUGCACUGCAAGGUGGAAUUCCAACCACUGGGCCACCAGGAAAGCACCUUUUACAGCCUAAUUUUAUAAAAGAGGAAAAAAAGGACCAACUUAAAUGUUCACCAACAGCCUAUGGGUUAAGUAAACUAUUUUUGCUCUCUUCUGUGACUACUGAGCAAUCUUGAAAAAUGAUGGAUUAUGAAGACAAAGAAAAACUGGGAGAAGGAAAAGACAGGAGGCAGAACUCUAAUUCAUUAUUAUUCAAACAAUAAAAAAAUAUGCUUAUUAAGUAAUUAGAAGGAAAUGUACCAAAACAGUGAAUAUAUAGGGGCUGGAAUAUAUUUAGUGCAAUUUUUUUUCUCUACUUGCUGAUUUAUCUGUAAUAUCAUUAGGUUACUUUAAUUAUUUAAAAAUUAAUUUAUUAAAACAAACAUUAGCAUACAUCUAACUGCAGCCAGGGAAUAAUCUGUUUAAUAAUACCUGUUUUGGAUAAGCCAUGAAUUGCUUCCCUUUUAGUUCAAGAAGCACGUACUAGCACCACUCUAUGCCAGGCACGAUGAGGAUCAAGGUAUGGAUGAGCUCUACUGGAAGAUACCUGUGCAUCCAAAGACACAGCACGUUGUUAAAGGAGCACCACAGGCUCUGAAGUUGUUCAGACUCAGGCUCCAACCUCCACUCUGCCACGUCCCAGUGGUGAACGAAAGCGCCAAUUACCUACCUAUGGUAAGGUACCUAACCUUAUCUAUAAUGGCACUGAUGCCAGUGUGGGCAUCAAUGAGAGCCUGCCCAAUCAGAAGAGCCCACCAGAAAGCUGCCCCAAUAUGGUAA